CAAAUGUCUUUAAGGGGGAAACAGAAUACAAAAGAGAUGCUUACGGGGUUUAUUCGUGCUGCAAGGCCCGGAGCAACAGGCUUCCUGCCCAAACUACCAGUUCCUCUCUGUGUCCCCCCACUCCCAGGCGCCUACGUGUGUUACCUACCAUGCUCCACAGGCUUCUCCCAUUAAGGAGUUCCCACGAGCCCUGGUCCCCCAGUUGGGAGAGUGAAAGUGGCAGUCAGUAAAGCGGAUGCCAGAAGUAUCCAUUUGAGCAAGGAGGCCCUGCGUAGGGAUGGCUGGCGGGCCCCGGACGGUCAUCACUCCCCAUGUGGAAGCCCCCACCACGCGUCAGGGCCCCAGGUACCUCUUAUCUCUCUUCUUUACCUUUUCUGCUCUUGCAGAGUCAUGCAAGAUAAUGAAAACAACCUUUGUUCAACUCAUGGAUCUUCACGUUUAAGAACAAAUUCCUAGAUGAAGUAAAUGUACCAUCUUGAAAACUGUUGAAACUGGGGAAUAAAUCUCCAAGGACUCCUUGACGUGGCCACUUCAGGACCCUUUCCUGCAGAGCAUGAAGCAAAUCCAGGUGCUGCUGGACAAGGUGAACACACCAGCGUGCAGCACCAAUGGAAAGAAAAUACAGGAAGAGGAGGAAAGAAGGCUGCCAAGACAGUAUCUUCUUUUAGAAUUUGUCCUCCUUGGCCCUGAUGAUGGAAAGUUGCAUAAAGGAAAGAGGAAGAGAGGGAGGGAAGAUGAAAUAAUUUGUAAAAUUCUGGUGAGCUGUCCACUAAGUAAAUAACUUUUAAGUAAACUCUAAAAUGUGUGGGGCAUAGAAAACUUAUGUCAUUACUACAUACACCUGUGAGUUCUUGGCAAAUGUAAAUUCACUGGUGACUGAAAUGAGCCAGAAUACUAGUUUUGUCUUAAACCUCCUCACCCCUUCUGUCUCUGUGAGGUAACUGAGUCAUAACCGCACACUUACUGGAAUCUUUGUAACUAUAAUGCUUAAUCUUGCUUGAGUUCUUCCAUGCUUGGUUUGGGACUGAGGAAGUUAAAGCAAGGAA